CGUGUAGGCUGCUUGGAAAGUCGGAUGUGAAAGCCCUGGGCUCAACCUAGGAAGUGCAUUCGAAACUUCCAAGCUCGAGUUUCGGAGAGGAAGGCGGAAUUCUCGGUGUAGAGGUGAAAUUCGUAGAUAUCGGAGAGGAACAUCGGUGGCGAAGGCGGCCUUCGUGGUACGAUGACUGACGCUGAGACGCGAAAGCGUGGGGAGCAAACAC
rnacentral:rRNA from 1 species